rnacentral:rRNA from 1 species
CGGACUGGAGUCUGCAACCCGACUCCACGAAGUUGGAUUCGCUAGUAAUCGCGCAUCAGCCAUGGCGCGGUGAAUACGUCCCCGGGCCUUGUACACACCGCCCGUCAAGCCAUGGGAGCCGGGGGCGCCUGAAGUCGGUAGUCUAACCGCAAGGAGGACGCCGCCGAGGGUGGGGUUGAUGAUUAGGGUUAAGUCGUAACAAGGUAGC